UGGGGAAUUGUUCGCAAUGGGCGCAAGCCUGACGACGCAACGCCGCGUGGAGGACGAAGAUCUUCGGGUCGUAAACUCCUGUCGAGCGGGACGAACACUCAUCCGGUGAAUAUCCGGAAGGGCUGACGGUACCGCUAAAGGAAGCCCCGGCUAACUCCGUGCCAGCAGCCGCGGUAAUACGGGGGGGGCAAGCGUUGUUCGGAAUUACUGGGCGUAAAGGGCUCGUAGGCGGCCAACUAAGUCCGACGUGAAAUCCCCAGGCUUAACCUGGGAACUGCGUCGGAUACUGGAUGGCUUGAAUUCGGGAGAGGGAUGCAGAAUUCCAGGUGUAGCGGUGAAAUGCGUAGAUAUCUGGAGGAAUACCGGUGGCGAAGGCGGCAUCCUGGACCGACAUUGACGCUGAUGAGCGAAAGCUAGGGGAGCAAAC
rnacentral:rRNA from 1 species